GGGAGAGUAAAGAAGAGAGAAAAAGAAGAAGAAAGAAAAUGAGGAAGAAGAAGAAAGAAGAAGAAGGGAAAAUCGACCGUAGAGCUUCACCGGAGCUGGGUCUGGUUAUUUUGAGCCCGAAUUAAUGAUCAGCUUGUCGAGAUCUUCGAAUUGAGAUAGGUGAUUUUGUAGGUUACCCGCCUGGUGAUCAGGAGUCGGGCCCCACUGAGGAGUUUCCAUCUGAGGACUGAUGGGUCCCUGUCGAGUUCAAGCACGGUGCCGACUGCAUGUGUGAGGAUUGUGCUGCGUGGCAACUGUGGCUCCUGAAUGAUUCUUUUAAUUCUUUUUUAUGUACUCUCUUUUGUUACUUUAUACUUAAAUUGUUACAUUUUUGUAUAUAUAUAUCAUGCCUUCGGGCCCAAAUGUAUCUAACUUUUAUAACUCAAUUUGGGUUUCAAGUAUUUGGGAAAUAAUUAAAAGUAUUAUUAU